rnacentral:misc_RNA from 2 species
CUGAGUGAGGGCCCCUCGGGGUCCAACCUCCCACCCGUGUUUAACGAACCUUUGUUGCUUCGGCGGGCCCGCCUCACGGCCGCCGGGGGGCUCCUGCCCCCGGGCCCGCGCCCGCCGAAGCCCCCCCUUGAACGCUGUCUGAAGUUUGCAGUCUGAGAAACUAGCUAAAUUAGUUA